rnacentral:rRNA from 1 species
GAGUUUGAUCCUGGCUCAGGAUGAACGCUGGCGGCGUGCUUAACACAUGCAAGUCGAACGGAGUACCCCUGAAGGAGUUUUCGGACAACUGAUGGGACUACUUAGUGGCGGACGGGUGAGUAACGCGUGAGUAACCUGCCUUGGAGUGGGGAAUAACAGCUGGAAACAGCUGCUAAUACCGCAUAAUAUGUCUGUGUCGCAUGGCACUGGACAUCAAAGAUUUAUCGCUCUGAGAUGGACUCGCGCCUGAUUAGCUAGUUGGCGGGGUAACGGCCCACCAAGGCGACGAUCAGUAGCCGGACUGAGAGGUUGGCCGGCCACAUUGGGACUGAGACACGGCCCAGACUCCUACGGGAGGCAGCAGUGGGGAAUAUUGGGCAAUGGGCGCAAGCCUGACCCAGCAACGCCGCGUGAAGGAAGAAGGCCUUCGGGUUGUAAACUUCUUUUCUCAGGGACGAAGCAAGUGACGGUACCUGAGGAAUAAGCCACGGCUAACU